rnacentral:rRNA from 1 species
AUUGAACGCUGGCGGAAUGCUUUACACAUGCAAGUCGAACGGCAGCACGGACUUCGGUCUGGUGGCGAGUGGCGAACGGGUGAGUAAUGUAUCGGAACGUGCCCAGUCGUGGGGGCUAACGUAGUGAAAAUUACGCUAAUACCGCAUACGAUCUAUGGCAGAAAGCGGGGGAUCGCAAGACCUCGCGCGAGUGGAGCGGCCGGAAUCAGAUUAGGUAGUUGGUGGGGUACAGGCCACCAAGCCUACGAUCUGUAGCUGGUCUGAGAGGACGACCAGCCACACUGGAACUGAGACACGGUCCAGACUCCUACGGGAGGCAGCAGUGGGGAAUUUUGGACAAUGGGGGCAACCCUGAUCCAGCCAUGCCGCGUGAGUGAAGAAGGCCUUCGGGUUGUAAAGUUCUUUCGCGAGGGAAGAAAGCGCACUGGUUAAUACCUGGUGUGGAUGACGGUACCUUGAUAAGAAGCACCGGCUAACUACGUGCCAGCCGCCGCCGUAA